CGCUGCCCCCGGCGCCCUCGUCCUCGGCCCCCGGCUCCGGGAAACCCAGCUGCUCCGCUCGAGUCCCUGCGGACUCCUGGCCGUCCACCUUUGACCCUGCACCCCCACUCCCACCCCCAUCAUCCCGCUGUCCCUAAACUCUGCGCGAACCCGCCGCCGCCCUCACAGAACGCUGGGCUACUUUUGAUUCCAAAGUGAAACGAGCCGAGGUUUGCCUGCCGCACCUAGAACUUUGCCCAGACCCUCUUCUGCACUUUCCCCAGGGCUGCCCCCGGCGAGCCCAGCCCCAGGCUGAGCCCUCGGACCCUGACCCCGGGUGCCGAGCUGAGGGAGCACCCAAGAGGGCUACCAGGUGGUUGGGUGUGGAGUGUUGGCAGCAAGGAGUAAUUAACAUGGAGACAAAAGCUGCCGCUGAAAUUCGCUGUGGCCGCUGCCUCUUCCCGCUUUAAUCCCAGACCUCCAGUCAUUGGGCAGCUCCUCAGAGGCAAGAAGUCAACACCAUGGCAACCCGACAAGCCUAUCAAAUCACCGGCUGGUGUGACAGCGGCAACACUGCAGGCAGGAGUGGGUUGGGCAGAAGAGCAGAGUGGCCGCCACGCUCAGCAAAAAAUGAUAACAUCAUUUUUAUGUGACUCAUAUGCAAAAUGAAAUACAUUCAUCUAUGAGAUCGGCUGAUGGGAAAUAAAAUCAGAUAUUUUACUUCUAACUCCAUCAAGCAAAAGAAAAAUCAGUUGUGAUUCCAAGAAGAGAUGAACUCUUGGUUAUUGGUUGCAAGCUUCUCUCAAUUCCUAGAAGCCACUGUCAAUUUCUUACCACAUGAACCUUCCAACACGACUGCUUGUUUCAUCAAAGCCAGAAAGACCAAGAGAGACUCCUGCAAAAUGGGAUCUGUGAUCGUACAAGCAUAAUCACAUACAUGCAAUUAUGCAUAUUUCUUCACCUUUGUUAUAUUCUAUUGAUUAAUAGCAAGUCACACAUCUCAUCCAUACUCAAGGAAAAGGAGUCCGACAAGGCCAUGGACAUCAAGAGGUAGAGCACAGCCUGUGAGAUCCUAGUUCCCCAAGCAGAAACUGGACUGGACCAAGGACUGAACUCUCGCCCUCUGCAGUGAAAGUGCAUAGUCUUGACUACUGGACUGCCAGGGAAUUCCCUUUGUUUGUUUUAACUAUAAGGAGAGAUCAAAGGAGUUGAGAAGAGAAAUCCUAGCGAAUAGCUGCAGUCUCAGUUGGUAAAAGUCAUGCCAAGUCUUUUUGCAUAUGAUCCACAAUCUGAAAUUGUCUUUUUUCUUUAUUUCCUUCUUUGUUUUAUCUCCCUAUUUAGAAUAUUGGAUCCAUGAUGGCUAGGAUCUUGUAUGUUCUUUUCAUCACUUGAAUCCAUUUCCUACAACUGUGUAAGACCAUGGUAGAUACUCAAUAAAAACUUGCUCAAUGAAUGCAUGAGGAAUCGAUAUUUGGAUUCUAGUUUUCCGUGCAACAAAGUGGUUGAGAGGCCUUACGAUGAUCAUUUACCUCUUGCAGGAUCAAUUUCUUUACCUUUAAAAUGAUGAAGUAGACUGGAUGGCUAAUGUUUCUUGUGGCACUAAUGGUCACUGAUGGCAUGCAUGUUCAAGGGUUUGUAUGAAAACCAAGUCAUAUUUUUACAGGAAACUUCACUUAUGUAACAGAUUGCAUUUGACAGAUCUUUUUUUUUUUAUUCUGAAACUUGAAUCCAAGAUGAAAUUAUUUAUGUGUUAGUUAUCUGUGCUUUCAUUAAUGUCUGCUUUUUUUCCCUGAUUAAGCAAGGUUAUUUUGGUCUGAUAAAUCCAUUUUUUGUCAUUUGGAUACCCAAAUAGAGUUAAAAAAAAAAAAGAUUCUUACAGCUUACAGUGAGGGUUCUCUUAAAAACUUUUUAAUGUUAAUGCUUUAAAUGGUGAAUUUCUAGAAAAUUCUAAAUACAGAUAGAUCUAUUUGAGGAGGAAAGAGAGAGUUGAGAGAUAUCUAGUUGUUUCCAGAUUUUAUAGUGCUAUGAACAUUUUGAAUAAGUGGACAUUAAGAAAUCUUCAUUUGUCUCUUUUAUUUUGUAUGGCAAAUAUAAAUUUAAUAUUAUACUAAAGUCUUUUGAGUGGGUUUGCUAGCUGAUCAUAACUUCACCACGUUGUCAGGAGAUUGAAUCCAUAAUCGUGUAAAGAUAUUGCUUGAAAAGAACAUUUAGGUUCCUUUUGCUGCUCAUGAGGAUGCUUUUUAAUUGUCCAUGUGUUUCUUUUUCAUCAGUGCCUAAGUGUGUUAAAUAAUUU
ensembl:lncRNA